rnacentral:rRNA from 1 species
GACGAACGCUGGCGGCGUGCCUAAUACAUGCAAGUAGAACGCACAGUUUAUACCGUAGCUUGCUACACCAUAGACUGUGAGUUGCGAACGGGUGAGUAACGCGUAGGUAACCUGCCUGGUAGCGGGGGAUAACUAUUGGAAACGAUAGCUAAUACCGCAUAAUAUUGAUUAUUGCAUGAUAAUUGAUUGAAGAUGCUAUUGCAUCACUACCAGAUGGACCUGCGUUGUAUUAGCUAGUAGGUGAGGUAACGGCCCACCUAGGCGACGAUACAUAGCCGACCUGAGAGGGUGAUCGGCCACACUGGGACUGAGACACGGCCCAGACUCCUACGGGAGGCAGCAGUAGGGAAUCUUCGGCAAUGGACGAAAGUCUGACCGAGCAACGCCGCGUGAGUGAAGAAGGUUUUCGGAUCGUAAAGCUCUGUUGUAAGAGAAGAACGGGUGUGAGAGUGGAAAGUUCACACUGUGACGGUAUCUUACCAGAAAGGGACGGCUAACUACGUG